UACAGAGGUCUCAAGCGUUGUUCGGAAUUACUGGGCGUAAAGGGUGCGCAGGCCGCGCGGGCAGUCAAAUGUGUAAUUCAGGGGCUCAACCCCUGCACUGCGCUUGAUACUUCCGCGCUCGAGCUUUGGAGAGGAGUCUGGAAUUCUCGGUGUAGCAGUGAAAUGCGUGGAUAUCGAGAAGAACACUUAGGGCGUAGGCAAGACUCUGGACAAAUGCUGACGCUCAUGCACGAAGGCUAGGGUAGCGAACAGG
rnacentral:rRNA from 1 species